UGGCUCAGUGGUAGAGUGCUUGCCUUGCAUGCAGGGGGCCCUGGGUUCGAUUCCUCAG
rnacentral:tRNA from 1 species